UACGUAGGGGGCUAGCGUUGUCCGGAAUCAUUGGGCGUAAAGCGCGCGUAGGCGGCCCGGUAAGUCCGCUGUAAAAGUCAAAGGCUCAACCUUUGAAUGUCAGUGGAUACUGCCGGGCUAGAGUCCGGAAGAGGCGAGUGGAACUCCUGGUGUAGCGGUGGAAUGCGCAGAUAUCAGGAGGAACACCGGUGGCGAAGGCGGGUCUCUGGGCAGUAACUGACGCUGAGAAGCGAAAGCAUGGGGAGCGAACAGG
rnacentral:rRNA from 1 species